AAAUGAAUAGACGGGGGCCCGCACAAGCGGAGGAGCAUGUGGUUUAAUUCGAUGAUACGCGAGGAACCUUACCUGGGCUCGAACGUAAUGUGACGUAAUGUGAAAGCAUUAUUCUCUUCGGAGCAGAUUACGAGGUGCUGCAUGGUUGUCGUCAGCUCGUGUCGUGAGAUGUUGGGUUAAGUCCCGCAACGAGCGCAACCCCUACCUUUAGUUGCCAUCAGGUAAUGCUGGGAACUCUAGAGGGACUGCCUACGCAAGUAGUGAGGAAGGUGGGGAUGACGUCAAAUCAGCACGGCCCUUAUGUCCAGGGCUACACACGUGCUACAAUGGCCGGCACAGAGGGCAGCUACUUGGUGACAAGAUGCAAAUCUCCAAAACCGGUCUCAGUUCGGAUCGAAGUCUGCAACUCGACUUCGUGAAGUUGGAUUCGCUAGUAAUCGCGCAUCAGCCAUGGCGCGGUGAAUACGUUCCCGGGCCUUGUACACACCGCCCGU
rnacentral:rRNA from 1 species